rnacentral:lncRNA from 1 species
CCUAGAUUUGUAACAAGCUAUUGUCUUUUUGUAUAAAAUGCCAGCAAAAAGCAGCAGCAUAGGAUGGUGAGUGUGUGUUUAUAGUGCUUUACUGAUACUGUUUGUGUGUGUUUAUGUGUGUGUCACAGAAGUGCACCCACAGCUCCAUCAUCAUUAGCCUCUCAGUCCCGGCCCCCGCACGGCCCCUCACGUCCUGUUGGCCUCAACGCUCCUGACCCCGAUGAGGACAGCAGUUCUGAGGAAUCUCGUGCUAGUUCUGGCCUGUCCAUGAGGAGCUCAGCAGGGGCGCUUUCAGCGGCCCAGGGAUCAGACGCUGGGUCAGGGCCCAACAUAGAGCCUUUGGAUAUGUUUAUGUUGGGGCAGGACCAGGACUCUCUUCGAGGACACAUGGACUCUGGUCUGACCCCUGAUGCUCCUCGGUCCGUCUCUGAGAGGGUCUCCCCAACACUCCCCUCCUCCCCGGGCCGUCCAGGUGCCAAUGUUAAACCAGUCCUGCCGCCCAUCCCAUCUGGAAGGAAGACCAAUGAUUCUGGCUCAAAACAGUAACUAACAGGACAGAGAGCUAAAGAGGGUAUAGACCAUGAGAUAUUAGCACAUCAUGUGAGUGUAAGCAGCAAAAAUUGGUUUUUGAAACAAGUUUAAUUAACCCCUGUAGCUUCAAGACAACCAUUCAAUAAAUGUCAAUGAAGGCAACAGAUGUGCUCAGUGCUGUGAGUCAAAAGCAGUCGGGUCAUUGGAAAAUAUUCCCAUCUCUCAUCUGUGUCCUCCAGUGUGAGUGAUCUGAGAGGUUGAAGGCUUAUCUGUCAUCAGCAGAUCUAAGCUCUGGAAACGGCCUGAAGCUCUUAAAUCCUUGGACACAGGAAGUAAGGCAAGAAGGUGUGCAAUGGAGGUCACACUUUACAUUACAACGUUCAUGUUACAGAAUAAUCACUUUGCUAUACCGUUCAAAAGUUUGGGGUCUAAAAAGUUAUUUAUUUAUAAAAAAGAUUUUGAUUGAUUGAUUUUUAUUUAAAUAAGAUAACUAUUAAAAGAUUAAAGUUAUUAAAGUAUUAAAUUAUGAAAUUAAAUAAGUUAUAGUAAAGACAAUAAUAAAGUCACAACAAAAUGAUAUUUCAAAUAAAUGGUGUCAGCUUUGCCGUCACAGGAAUAACAUAGUUAAACAAAAAAAUUAAAUUAAAUUAAAUUAAAAAAAUUAAUUUGUAAUAAUAUCUUACACUAUUAUUUUAUUUUGAUCAAAUAAAUGCAGUCUUGGUGAGCAUUUAUUUCAGUAUCGUUUUAAAAAUCGUACUCAACCCUAACUUUAGAAUUCAUUGCAAGUAACUUUGGAUAAUUACGGUGUGAUUAUUACGGUGGCCCAGUAGUGCACAACACAACAGAAAUAAGCUGCAAAGCAACAAAAUUAGUACAAAAUUAUGGAAACAAGCCACAAAGCAACAGAAACAAGCUGCAAUGCAACAAAAUUAGCACAAAACAAUGAAAACAAGUCAUAACACAACAGAAAUCAAGUCAUAACACAAAAGAAACCAGCCACAACACAACAGAAACAAGUCACAAUGCAAAGAUAUUAGCACAACACAGCAUAAACAAGGUGCAACGCAAUGAUAUUAGCACAACAAAGCAGAAUUAGCGCAAAACAACUAAAAUUAUUCCAAUGCUUUUUUGGUUGUGGCGAUUUGAGUGUGUUGUGGAGAUUUUGUGUUAUGCACUACUGACCCAACGUAGAUUAUAGAACAUUUUAGCAUAAAUGAACACAAUUAUGUUAACAUAAUAUGUAUGUACAGUAACAUGAACUUGUAAUCUUUGUGUAACUCAGUGUAUCUUCUGCGGCUCAUUCCUUACCACAAAUGAGUAGCUGGAGCGGUUGAGGAGACUCUCCUCCUGUAAUUAAUGUAUUUUAUGGCUCAAUCUGACACACAGACUGAGUAAAUAUAUUGAGACAGCUAUCCGGGUAUCUCAUGACACAAGUUGCAUUUAAUUUCCACUUUCAUUUUUCAUCAGCGUGCAGUGAGCCUGUGUGUGUAUCUGUACAGUAAGUACACACACACACAAACCUGGCCGUCUAUCAGUGUCAGUCCCUCUAACCAGCAGAUGUUGCAGUGAUCUCAUAAUUCAGAGGCAGUUUCAGACAAGACAGUUGUGCAAACCCUCGGGCAUAACCUACUUACAGAAACAGUCUUCACACUUUUACUAUCUUGUCACGCUCAUCUAGAUCUCACGCUUCUAAUGCUGCACUACAUACAACUAUAUGAAAUUAUUCCUACAUGAAUGAAGUCAGAUAACUUGGUCUUGGUCAAAUGAACAUGAAGUGAUAACAAAUAGAUAUCGUGGCCGUGACUUAAGAUUUAAUUCCUCGAGAAUUUAUCAAUUUGUGUCUGUGUACAGUAUUUAUUCAUUUGUUCCUUCAUUUUAGUAAAAUCAUGGCCACAUUAUAAUUAAUGUAUUUGAAUUUAGACAAAUCAUGACCACAGCUUUUUUUAACCUGCAUGUAUCGUAUAACAUCAUAGCCAUACAUAAUCAUACAUAUAUAUUUGCUUAAGAUCUAAGGGUAAAAAUAAACUUAGCGACUUAAAAAAUAUAUUUUUGUGAUUUGUUAGAAAUAGAAUUUUAAUGCUAAUGCUAGCUUUUUAGAUUUUUUUUGUAGCAAGAAAGGCCCAAAACUUAAAAUGAUGCAUAUACUGUCUGUGUGUGUAUAGAUAUAGGUAUAGAUAUAGAUGUUCUAUGAAUAGUGCUUUGGAAAGCUCAAAAUGAUUCUUUUAAGACCAAAAAAAAUAACUAAAAUUGGAACCUUUAUUUUUUAGAAUGUAGAGGUAACCUACAACACAGACACCCUUUUAUAAAAUCACGGAGAUUUUCAUGACAAGCUGACUCAUAAUUUCCUUCUCUUCUUUCAUCUUCGGACAUAUUUCCAUAACCUGGCCUCUGAAAACCAAGAUCAUAUUUCAGAGAAGGACAAACCUGUCCACAUUAUAUUAUCCAGAGCAGCGCUGGGAGACAAAGAAACCGGCAUAAAUCAUCUUUUCCACACAGAGACGAGCAAGAGAGGCUAAAUCAUAGUAGAGCUGUUGUAUUUUACCCUCAUUGCUGCUACAGCUAUUUGUCAGCUCAGGCCUACAGGGCCACAGCUGUGACUGCUCUUGAUACACUGCAUUGUUAAAAUGGGGCUUCAGUGAAGUUUAGGCAUAUGGUUUCUCAGACACAGCAUAGAGAUUGUGGAUUAUAAAUAGGAACUAUUUCUAAAUAUUCAUCUGCAUUAUAUUCUUCAUUGUGCUAAUAGAAGUUUUUUUAAGCAAUACCAUUACACUGUAUGAGUAAGAGUGCUGUUGUACUGAACAUCAACAGACUUGCUUUCAUAUAACAGUUCAAUAAGCAAUCCGUUAAUAUGAGUGUGUAAUUAAAACUUUAAUGCGAGUACUUGUAAUAAAUGAUUUCGCACUAUCAAUGCUGUUUCCUUGUGGCUUUGACUGCUUAUGCAUGUAAACGAGGCAAACGCCAGACAUCCAACUAAUAACUUUAAUCAAAGACUGAUUUUAAUUUUAUAUCAAGACAUUGCAUUGCACUGCAUUUUUGUUUGCAGACUUAAAAGUACAUUCAUAAAUAUACCAUGCUUCCUUAUUAAUAUUUUGUCCGAUUGGUCUAAUUAAUUAUACUUUCAGUAGCCAAGCAGUUUUGGUAAGUGUCCCUGUUACAGUUUAUUUAUACAGAUUUUGAAAGCAUGUCACUUACAGAUGCAUUUGAGCUGGACGUACAGUUUUAGAGGCUUCAGGUAUUAAUAAAACAUUCAGACAGAGAAAUGAUUAUUAUGUGCUGUUGAUUGAUGCCUAUCUUCAUGUGAAGAAUGUAAUUUGUGUCUUCACAUAUCAAUGUCCUCUAUAAAUGAUUUCUUAUUUAUAGAGUAAAAUUGAAACGAAUCGAAACAAAUAAUGUAGUUACUUCUAAUGUAAGCUUGUUUAAUUUGGCUUGGCUGUUUGUGUUGAGUCAACAUUUAAUCUUUAAAGGUGUAGUUAGCUUCACCCCUGGGAACUGACUAGCGCUUCUGCUUGGAAUCCAUGCAGCUCAGUUGUUGUUACCAAGGUAACCGGCUCUCUGCAAUGCACCUCCUGAUUGUGUGUUUGGAGACAGGAAGCCUGAAGCAUUGACUUCAUGUGCCAACAGCCCCACAUUAAUUCCCUCUCAUGCUGAUGGUGGAAGAUUUCUGAUACUUUUAAUUAGGUGAUACUCACUCUCCUACACAGUUUCUUGUUCUUUCUCUGCCUUGUGCAUUGUCAGACAAAUUAUAAAAGUUUUGAGACUUGUUAAAAUGCUUGUUUAAAGGAAGCAGCUUAAACUGAAGUCAGCCUGACUUAAUGGUCACAUAUCGUCACAGUUGUGAAUAGAAUGAGGGUCCAGUAUGUAGUUACUGACAAUGCUUGAACUUUAACAGUGGCAUGUUGGCACACUCUCAAAAUACAAUACAAGAGGCACACAUACCAUGGUUUUAUAUUGAUAUAAUGUAGGCUUUUAUGCAAUUACUGUAAAUUCAUGCAAUGUAAUAAUAUGAUGCUUAUUGUAGUAACACAUUUCUAACCUAUUAACCAAUUUUAAUUACCUUUUAAUCUUUUUUUUAUCUUAUUUAUUAAAUGAUUUGUGCUUAAUGUUUAUUAAAUCAUGUUACCAUUUCUUGGUAUUUAUACUUUUUUUUUGUUUACAUAAUUUUAUUUUACAUAAUUUUUUUAAACUUAUUUUUCUUUAUUUUGUAUUAGAUUAUAA